AUACAGUAAGCUGCUCCCCUCCAUGGUCUUUGCAUCAGCUCCUGCUUCUGGGAUCCUGCCCUGUUUUGAGUUCCUGUCCUGAUUUCCUUCAGUGAUGAACAGCAAUGCUGAAGUGUACCAGCCAUUCUGUAGGAUUCUCCGGCCCCCAUAUCAGAGUCGUACGUUCAUCUGGAAUCAUCAAAGGAGCCACAAAAAGAGUGAGAAGGAAGGUUGUGGCAUUUGACUGAGGAGAAGGACAUAUGGAGCUCAGGUUUCCAAUCCACAA